rnacentral:rRNA from 1 species
AAAUGUCCGCCAGAGAAUUACGGGUGAAAACCUAAAACUCAAAAGACUUGACGGUGUUCCAACCCUGCCUAGAGGAGCCUGUUCCAUAAUCGAUAAUCCCCGAUCAACCCGACCACCUAUUGAAAUACUCAGCCUAUAUACCGCCGUCACCACGCCUACCCUUUGAAAGACACACAGUAGGCACAAUAGUUUCCAAACUAACAAGUCAGGUCAAGGUGUAGCUUAUUGGGUGGAGGAAAUGGGCUACAUUUUCUACGACAGAUCACCUACGGACUUCGCUCUGAACCAAGCAACAAGGAGGAUUUAGCAGUAAG